CAAACUCCCCAGGGACCUGGCACGGCCGCAGAACCAGGUUCACCCCACUGCUGCUCCACGGGAAAAAAAAAGAAGCAAAUGAUACCAAGGCAAGCGCCGAACAGGGACCUCAUCGUCAGAUGUGUACGGAUGAAAAUACAGUGAGAUGAGUCAGAAAACGAGCAAGGAGGGUCCCAGGCUCUCCAAGAACCAGAGGUUUUCCGAGCACUUCAGCAUACACUGCUGCCCGCCAUUCACCUUCCUCAACUCCAAACGGGAGAUCGUGGACCGGAAAUACAGCAUCUGCAAGAGCGGCUGCUUCUACCAGAAGAAGGAGGAGGACUGGAUCUGCUGCGCCUGCCAGAAGACCAGAUUGAAAAGGAGGAUCAAGCCAACCCCACGGAAGAAGUAACCGAAGAGGAGUUUCAACUGAAUGAAUGGCCUCAGCUCCUGGACCCACUGCUUCCUGACCCCUGCGACCUUGGGCGAGCUGUCCGGUUUUGAACAUGGUGCAGAGGCAGACACCCGCUGAUGCCCAAGGUCUCCGUGGCACAGGGGCCGCCGGGCAGCCUGCCUGGAGCAUUUUGAAGAUAUCAUCCUAUUAUCUUCUGACCUCUGUAAUUAUCAAUGAGAAAUCUGCUGUCAUUUUACUUGCCUUCCAUUGACUCAAGUUUCUUCAAAAUGAAGAUAUACAUCUUUCUUCAGGGAUAUGCAAAAAAGAUAUUGUACAACCAUCAUAAUGGCAAAAACUAAACAUUCUCAAGUGUUGGCAAGGAUGUGGGGAAAAUUCUCAUAAACUACUAAUGAGAAUUUGUAAACUAUUACAACACCUUUGGUGUGAAGUCUGGGGAUACUAGCAAAGCAGCAUAUUAUGUAGACUAUGAUCAAACACGAUUUUAGGCACCAAUCCUAGAGAACACUUGCACCCAUAAAGAAAGGAGAUACAUAUAAAUCUGUUUAAUGAAGCAUUUGGAAAAGAAAGAGGAAGAGAGAGACAUAGAAAGAAAUUAAUCAAAAUAUCCACCAAAAGAGAAAGAAUGAAUCAAUAACAGUCUAUUCAUAAAUAAAUUCUAAACAGCAGCUAAAACAAGUGAAUUAUAUAUACCUAUACCAGGUAAAUGAACAUGGAAAACAGAAUAAAAAAAUCAAAUGGCAGAUGGUAAGUGCAAUAUGAUGCCGUGUGCAAAGAUUUGAACAACCUGCAAUACUGUAAUUGCCAAAUACACAGAAACAAUAAGAUCUCACACUUUCUCUCUGAUGCAAGAGAGUUCUUAAAAUGAUAACAAAACAAACAGCUAUCCAAGAAAUACCAGUCCUUUCAGAAAUCAAAAAGGUUUGAAAUAAUUCCUGGUUCGAAGGAAUCAUAGACAUUAAAAGGUAUCUAGAAAUGGUCAACAACAUUAGCCCAACACAAAUGUUUUUGGAGAGAUAAUGGGUGACGAAUAAGCCUGGAAUCUCUCCAAGGUUACAAGUCUUAGAAAACAAACACAUCUGGUCUGAUUCACUUUUGAAUGUGGCUCGUACGGUGACUUCUGCAGGCUUCUGACAUGGGGAAAAAGGGCAAAAAUUAGAAUACCCUCCCAACCUCUCUUUAGGAAUAGGUAGGAAAACACAGAAGAUAAUAGAAUGUUGUAGAAUGUUGAGGGAUGUUAGGUAGAGGGCGACUCAGAGUAAAGGGGGCAUUCAGAGCAGGCCUGUGCCGGGAGCCUGGGUGGCCAGGCACAGGCAGGUGCCUGCAGCCCUACCGAGGCAAGGCUCUGUGUCCUUGAGCGAGCACAGCCAGACCCAGCCAAGUUUAAGUGGCAAGUAAGAAUAUGAAGCCGAUGCCAGAGGAAGAAGUCUCAUUCGAGCUGUGUGGCUGGGGUGAGAAGAAAUGCCAGAGAGUAGGGAGGAAGUGUACUAGACUCAUAUGAGAUACAGUUCAGAACACCAACCCCCCCAGAAAGAGGAAUCAGGCCAAGGACUGUCCCACGGCAGCUGGAGGGCGAGGCCUGAGUGUCCUGGCUUCCUCAUUUCGGGAGGCCGUCACCGUGGCAGUGGCAAUAAAAGGGCAGGGGAAUUCAGAUACACAGAGCCUCCAGGUAGAGAUGUUUCCCCUCCUCAAUUCAGGUGCUAAAUGAACAACAAAGUGAGAACCUCUAUGAUGAACAAUUUCCAUCGAUGAGUUAUCUGAGGCCAUUACAUUCCCGGGAAUGACACCAGGGGCGCUAUGACAGACUCCUAGAAAGAAGAAAUUAGUGGGCCAGCCCCACUCGGACCCAGUGAGGAAAGUGAGUAUUUCUUCAGUCCACUUCAGAUGUUAGCAGAGCCAGACCUCAUGCUCAGAGCUUGCUGGGCUCUGUCCUCCAUACCAUCCAGAGACACACAGUUACGACCGAGUGCAAAAUUGGGGAGGAGAGAGCAUGAUAUGUAUUAAUUCGCAUAAAAAAUGGGAUGUCAACACAGAACUGUUAAUAACUAGAAAUUACUGAAUUCUCUAUGUUUGCCUGUUGUGGAAAUAAAACCCUCUGGAAACUGGUAAAUAACUAAAUGUAAU